rnacentral:rRNA from 1 species
UAAUACGUAGGGGGCAAGCGUUGUCCGGAAUCAUUGGGCGUAAAGAGCGUGUAGGCGGUUCGGUAAGUCCGCUGUGAAAGUCAAGGGCUCAACCCUUGAAAGCCGGUGGAUACUGUCGAACUAGAGUCCGGAAGAGGCGAGUGGAAUUCCUGGUGUAGCGGUGAAAUGCGCAGAUAUCAGGAGGAACACCGAUGGCGAAGGCAGCUCGCUGGGACGGUACUGACGCUGAGACGCGAAAGCGUGGGGAGCAAACAG